AGUUUGACCCUCGAGUUCAAUAUUUUGGACCCGUGGAGGCCCUACUGUGCGGCUUGAAUGACAUUCAUAUUUAGCACACAAAAAAGAGAGAAGUGUUUAUAUCCUAAUUAGAUUCUACAAUUAUUACGUUUCAUCCUAAUUAGAUUCUAAUAGUAUUGAGUUUGGGUUUUAUUUUGCUUUUUUUUUUUUUUUUUGAUUUGUUUUUUGUUUAUGGGUUUUUUUUAUGGGUGUGGUAGGCUGCUUUAUUUAACACAUUUCUUUGAUUCCUCUUGAGGUGUCCAAUCCUAAAAGUCACGAGGACGCUGUAGGUGUGGUUCUGAUAGCGCCCUCUGUUACCACCGAGGGACAAAUAAACCCGUCCUUUCGUGUAUACCACUUCGAUUCGCAGACGUUUCAACUGGUGGACUACGAUCAGUACUUUGUCAACAUCACGGAGGCAAACAAAUCAGGAAAGGCGACUGUGAAAAGGUUAUAUUCAGCGAUAUCCGAAUACAACAUGACAGAUUUGAGUCCAAAGUCCUUCCUGGAUCUGUCCAACAGGUUCAAGACGAAUGACACGUUAUUUAAGCAGUACUGGGGCAACUACCAAGCCCAGAAUGGACUGAACGCAGUGUGCGAUUCUGACUGUAAAGAAUUCAUGAUUUGUAAAUCGCAGUCGGCUUCUCUGCGGGCGUACCUACAGUGCAUCAACAGACUGUCUUAGACGGCGUGCAACUCUUAAAGGAACUGUCCUGUGUUUGAGGCCAUCAAAACACACAGUGCAAUAAUCUACUCACCUGUAAUAAAUCUGGGUAAUAAAAUUAAAACAAAAACGCCCAAAAGUUUGAAAUUAAUCUCUAAAUAUUUUUGAAAUUGUCUUUGACCCAAUUAUUUCACGUUGUUUGGCGAUUGGAACCAAAAUAAAUCGUUACUUAAAAGUAUUAUUGUAGGCAUAAAUCAGUAUUUAACUGAUUUAAUUUCAUAAUUUGUCUCUUUAGCUGGUCAAUGAACGCUGGUUUUUUUGUUUUUUUUCAAGUGAUAUUAUAUUGAACGAGCGUAGUUAAUUUUUAACUGAUGAGGAAAUAACUGUUGUGUUUAAAGAACAAAUAACAAUUAACAAAUAAACCACUGUUAACUUCAAUCGACGUCGUGUGAUUUUUUUUUUUGAUUUUUUUUUAUUCGGGGGGGGGUGGGGGGGUGGGGGGGACA